CGAUCACAUCACGGUGAACCAUUGGUUCCCAUACGAUUACCGCAGUUAAGCAACGUCGAGCCUGGUCUGUAUCUAGACGGGUGAGCGCUUGGGAAAUUCCAGGUGAUGAAA